UAGUAUAGAAAAUAACAAUCGAUGGAUUUUUUUACCUUAUCAUGCUGACGUUUGAUUUAAUUUUGCAAUUCAAAGUACAUUAUGUAUGUACAAUUAAGAUUUUGAGAAAUUAGUUGCAUUUACGCCAAUAAUAAAGGAACCAAAGUCGACACAGAGAGAGUAAAUUAUAAUAUUUAUUAAAAUUAUCUUGAGUGUGUUCAAAAUACAUAAUUGUAAAUACAUUAUACACAUUUCUGAACGAUAUAACGAUAAAGAAUCGCAAAAUAGGAUAGUCUAAAUACUUGUAAAGAUAAAAAAAAAAAAAUUGAGGCUAAGUUCUACAGGCAAGUAGAGGCUAAGUUUCAAAACGUACAUAUUAUAAAAUGGUAGAAGUAAAAGCGAAACAUACACUUCAUAGUGGCAUUUUUCAUCCUGUUUUACGACAAUGGCAAUCACCAAAUGUAGAAAUUACAGUUAACAAUCUUAUGUAUCCAAUUUUUGUCUUAGAUGAACAAAAUGCUAAGGAGGCAAUUGCUAGUAUGCCAGGUGUUUAUCGAUAUGGUAUCAAUGAAUUACGAAAAACAUUGUUGCCAUUGGUUUCAAAGGGUUUGCAAUCAAUAUUAUUGUUUGGAGUGUCGAAACACUUGAAGAAGGAUCAUAUUGGAAGUAAUGCAGACAGUUUACAGAAUCCUAUUAUUCAAGCUGUACCUUUAAUAAGACACUGGUUCCCAAAUUUAUUAAUAGCAUGCGAUGUUUGUCUGUGUCCUUAUACUAUUCAUGGGCAUUGUGGAAUUUUAAAUGAAGAUGGAAGCAUAAAUAACAAAGCUAGCAUUGCACGUAUUUCUGAAAUUGCUCUUGCAUAUGCAAAAGCUGGAGCACAGAUUGUGGCACCAUCCGAUAUGAUGGAUGGAAGGAUCGGUGCAAUUAAAAACAAAUUAGCAGCAGCUGGAUUAAUUAAUAAAGUUGCAGUUUUAUCAUAUUCAGUGAAAUUUGCAUCAGGAUUUUAUGGACCUUUUAGAGAUGCUUCGCAGUCUGCUCCAAAGUUUGGAGAUAGAAAAUGUUAUCAAUUACCUCCAGGAAGUAAUGGAUUAGCCGCAAGAGCAGCUGCUAGAGAUGUGUCCGAAGGAGCUGAUAUGCUUAUGGUAAAACCAGGUCUAGCUUAUUUGGAUAUUGUUAGACAUACAAAGGAUGCGCAUCCAGAAUAUCCAAUGUUUGUAUAUCAAGUAUCAGGAGAAUAUGCCAUGUUGUAUCAUGGUGCUCAAAAUGGUGCAAUUAACUUGGAAAAUGUUUUAAACGAAGUUCUUCUAUCGAUGAGAAGAGCUGGAGCUGAUUGCAUCAUAACAUAUUUUACACCUUUAAUUUUAGAUAUGUUGCAACCAAAAAGCAAGUAUUAAUUAAAAAUGUUGCUACCCAGGGUGUACAUAGUUAUUUACACUGAUAUUACUUAAUAUAAAUAAACAUAUCAGUAAAUUCAUUUUGUUUAGUGUUUAACAAAAAUUACAUGUAUGCACAGUUCUGGUAUCGAAUAAAUACGGUAUCAUUGUGACGUGGGCCUAUCGAUAGCAGCCAACUGUAUGCGGCUCAACCAACUGGUGUUCGCUUUUCCAUUGGUACGGACCUUCUAAGACCAAUCAACAUAAGCCACGACGAAAUCGCCCCGUUAAUAUCUCGGUCCUGAGAUCGUUCCGUAGUCAGUCAUUCCGAGUUGUUCUUGUUGUUCGUUGAGCUUGUGACAAAUUAAAAAUAAUUUCUACUUAUAAUAAAAAGAGAUUGUAUAUAAA